rnacentral:rRNA from 1 species
UACAGAGGUCUCAAGCGUUGUUCGGAUUCAUUGGGCGUAAAGGGUGCGUAGGCGGCCUGUUAAGUCAGGGGUGAAAGACGGUAGCUCAACUAUCGCAGUGCCCUUGAUACUGAUGGGCUUGAAUGUACUAGAGGUAGGCGGAAUGUGACAAGUAGCGGUGAAAUGCAUAGAUAUGUCACAGAACACCAAAUUGCGAAGGCAGCUUACUAUGGUAUGAUUGACGCUGAGGGCACGAAAGCGUGGGGGAUCAAAACAGG